ACAAACUCCGGCUCGGUUCGUCCUUGGGCGCCUUUAAAGUACAGGUAGUAACAGGAUGCAAUUAAACGCCCUGUUUCUAAGAGGAAGAAAAUGAUCAGCCUGCAAAUCCCACAAAAGAGACAGGAAGUUGGAAGACUUUGUUCUUUAUUCCACUUUCAUUGAUGCCCACACAUACCACUUUGUGCUGUACUCAAAUAUUAUUUCACAAUCUGUCUCGCA